rnacentral:rRNA from 1 species
AGUGAACGCUGGCGGUAGGCUUAACACAUGCAAGUCGACCGGCAGCCCAGUAAGAGCUUGCUCUUACGGGUGCCGAGUGGCGGACGGGUGCGGAAUACAUCGGAAUCUACUUUUUCGUGGGGAUUACGUAGGGAAACUUACGCUAAUACCGCAUACGACCUACCGGUUAAAGUAAGGGAUCUACGCACCUUGCGCGAUUGAAUGAGACGAAGUCGGAUUAGCUUGUUGGCGGGGUAAAGGACCACCAAGGCGACGAACCGUAGCUGGUCUGAGAGGAUGAUCAGCCACACUGGAACUGAGACACGGUCCAGACUCCUACGGGAGGCAGCAGUGGGGAAUAUUGGACAAUGGGCGCAAGCCUGAUCCAGCCAUGCCGCGUGAGUGAAGAAGGCCUUCGGAUUGUAAAGCCCUUUUGUUGGGAAAGAAAAGCAGCAGGUGAAAACCCCGCUGUUCUGACGGUACCCAAAGAAUAAGCACCGGCUAACUUCGUG